CCAAAACACUACUUUGCAGAACGAAUCAUCAGCCUCCACCAUAGUGUACUAAUGCGAUGUUGUUGAAUGUACAGUUCUGUUAGAGAUUAUAAACCAAAAAUUUAGCUAUACGGUAUCAAAGUAUACCCAUUUAUGGUAAACUGCACCGUA
ensembl:ncRNA F58H1.24 ncRNA